rnacentral:rRNA from 1 species
GAUGAACGCUGGCGGCGUGCUUAACACAUGCAAGUCGAACGGAAAGGCUCCUGCUUGCAGGGGUACUCGAGUGGCGAACGGGUGAGUAACACGUGGGUGAUCUGCCCUGCACUUCGGGAUAAGCCUGGGAAACUGGGUCUAAUACCGGAUAGGACCACAUUUUGGAUGGUGUGGUGGAAAGUUUUUCGGUGUGGGAUGAGCUCGCGGCCUAUCAGCUUGUUGGUGGGGUAAUGGCAUACCAAGGCGUCGACGGGUAGCCGGCCUGAGAGGGUGUACGGCCACAUUGGGACUGAGAUACGGCCCAGACUCCUACGGGAGGCAGCAGUGGGGAAUAUUGCACAAUGGGCGCAAGCCUGAUGCAGCGACGCCGCGUGGGGGAUGACGGCCUUCGGGUUGUAAACUCCUUUCGCUAGGGACGAAGCGCAAGUGACGGUACCUGGAGAAGAAGCACCGGCUAACUACGUG